AUCUGGAUCUCGCUAGAGGUCGCUUGCUCCGUAGUCUUAUAAGGCGAGAGCCGUCGGAGGAGAGAUUAUUGGCACAGGGCACACGAUUCUCUCUCUUCGCCUAUUAUUAGUACUGGCCGCUUUUGAAACUCAAAUAAUGACGUCACCGCCAUACACAUUCACAUCCGAAACUAUUUCAUGUUUCAGAUUCAUGGAGUAUGCACAAUUCUGAACAAUAACGACUUGAAAAUUAUAACUGGUGUGAAAUGAGAAUUUCCUGUUAAACUUCUUUGAUGGAAAAUCAUUGAAUGAGAUGAAAAUCAAAUAAGUAAAUUUCAUAAUUACUGUGAAGCAUUCGGGGCGACUUUCGCUUUCAACAUCUACGACACAGAGGGUGGCGGCAACCUGGACGCCUUCUUCCUUGGCGAUCUGCUCAGAGCUCUGGGACUCAACCCAACUCAGGGCCUCAUUGAGAAGCUGGGAGGCACCAAGAAGAAGGGUGAGAAGACCUUCACAUUCGAGGAGUUCCUGCCAAUCUUCAGCCAGGCCAGGAAGGACAAGGACAAUGGAGUCUAUGAGGACUUCAUCGAGUGCUUGAAGCUCUACGACAAGGCUGAGAACGGUCUCAUGGUUGGCGCUGAACUCUCUCACAUUCUCUUGUCUCUUGGUGAAAGGUUAACUGAGAAGGAAGUCGAUGAGGUCCUUAAGGACUGCCUGGACCCUGAAGAUGAUGACGGCAUGGUCCCCUACAUCCCUUUCCUCAAGAGGAUGAUGGCACCAUAGAUUCGUCAUGGAUCUACAAAACAAAUAAUCUAAAUAUCAAAAAAUUCCAUUCCUGGCUCGUGUAUGCGAAAAACCAGUACCCGAUGACAUCAAGCCAGUAUUGUAAUCCACCUGGCAAAAGAAAAAAACAUUUUUGAAAUCUCAAAAAAUCAAUCAUAUUAUAUCCAUCAAAAAACCAGAUUAUACAAAUACAUGAAAACAGCUGUACAUAAAACUGGGCAAUUCUAUUUAUUAAUAAAAGUAUAAUUUUAUUGUUA
rnacentral:misc_RNA from 1 species